ACAACUAUAUCAGGUUUCAUUUGGAGGUUUAAUAUACAAUCUUUUGCUUGUUUACAUUGUGCCCCUUUGGCGACUUAUCGGCAGUACAUGACUGAAAGCAAUACAGGAAUACGCACACAUUAUGCACGUACAACAGCUAUGAGAUUUUUUACAGCAAGAAAUAUACAGUAAAUAAGAACUAAUCUUAAUGACUUAAGGGAUAAAAUAUUUACCUCGGCCCAGAGCUCGUCGGGCUUGGUGUGCG
rnacentral:lncRNA from 1 species